rnacentral:rRNA from 1 species
UUCGAGCAACGCGAAGAACCUUACCAAGGCUUGACAUGUUCUCGAUCGCCGUAGAGAUACGGUUUCCCCUUUGGGGCGGGUUCACAGGUGGUGCAUGGUUGUCGUCAGCUCGUGUCGUGAGAUGUUGGGUUAAGUCCCGCAACGGGCGCAACCCUCGUUCCAUGUUGCCAGCACGUAAUGGUGGGGACUCAUGGGAGACUGCCGGGGUCAACUCGGAGGAUGGUGAGGACACGUCAAAUCAUCAUG